rnacentral:lncRNA from 1 species
UUUGGCUAUGCGGCGCUGGUUGCUUCUGGUGGGAUCAUUGGCUAUGCGAAAGCAGCUACCUCUGGAACCCUGGCUGGCAUUAUGGGAAUGAGGUUCUACCACUCUGGAAAAUUUAUGCCUGCGGGCUUAAUCGCAGGUGCCAGUUUGCUGAUGGUCGCCAAACUUGGAAUUAGUGUGUUGAAUAAACCCCAUCAGUAGUACCUAUGUCCCAGCUUGGACUCAUGAAGAAUUUUAAAACUUCUACUAUUUUUAGUGUAUUAAGAGAAACAAGUAUUCUGACAUUUUACUUAAAACAAAAAAAUAACAUUGAACUUCCAGGAGAAGAAAUCAGUCAUUAUCAUUACAACCUUAAAGAGGUAAAGCCUCAAGGGGUAAAAUGUUAGGUAUCAACAUUGAGGGCCCUGAAACCCCAUGCCCUACUCAGAACAGUGAAAAAAGUCUCUUAGGAGCUUUAGGAUUUCUGUUCUUUGGCUCAUUUUAGAGCACAGACCUACCUGGAAAGAAUGUCAAAUGAAAUAUUGAAAAUAAAGUUUACUGUAAGUAAAAAAAAAAAAAAAAAAAAAGAAGUCAAACUCUCACUUCCCAGAUGACACGGUACUCUAGGUGGAAAAUCCAAAAGACUCCACCCCCAAAUUGCUAGAACUCACAGAGGAAUUUAGCAAAUUGGCAGUAUACAAAAUCAAUGCAGAGAAAUCAAUUGCAUUUCUAUACACUAACAAUGAGACAGAACAAAGGGAAAUUAAGGAGUCAAUCCCGUUUAUGAUUGCUUCAAAAACCAUAAGAUACCUAGGAAUAAACCUAACCAAAGAGGCAAAGGACCGGUAUAGAAAACUAUACAACGCUUAUGAGAGAAAUUGAGGAAGACGCAGAGCAAUGGAAAAACAUUCCAUGCUUAUGGAUUAGAAGAAUAUAUAUUAUAAAAUGCCUAUGCUAUCCAGAGCAAUAUACACAUUCAAUGCAACCCAUAUCAAAAUAACAUUGACAUUUUUCACAGAACUGGAA